AUUGAACGCUGGCGGCAUGCCUUACACAUGCAAGUCGAACGGCAGCACGGGGGCAACCCUGGUGGCGAGUGGCGAACGGGUGAGUAACAUAUCGGAACAUACCCUAGAGUGGGGGAUAACGUAGCGAAAGUUACGCUAAUACCGCAUACGAUCUAAGGAUGAAAGUGGGGGAUCUUCGGACCUCAUGCUCAUGGAGUGGCCGAUAUCUGAUUAGCUAGUUGGUGAGGUAAAGGCUCACCAAGGCGACGAUCAGUAGCUGGUUUGAGAGAACGACCAGCCACACUGGAACUGAGACACGGUCCAGACUCCUACGGGAGGCAGCAGUGGGGAAUUUUGGACAAUGGGGGCAACCCUGAUCCAGCAAUGCCGCGUGAGUGAAGAAGGCCUUCGGGUUGUAAAGACUCUUUGUCUAGGGAAG
rnacentral:rRNA from 1 species